rnacentral:rRNA from 1 species
CAGAGGUGGCAAGCGUUGUUCGGAUUUAUUGGGCGUAAAGGGUUCGUAGGCGGACCGGAAAGUCAGAUGUGAAAUCCCACAGCUCAACUGUGGAACUGCAUUUGAAACUUCCGGACUAGAGUGUGAGAGGGGUAAAGGGAAUUCCCGGUGUAAGGGUGAAAUCUGCAGAGAUCGGGAGGAACACCAGUCGCGAAGGCGCUUUACUGGCUCACUACUGACGCUCAGGAACGAAAGCUAGGGUAGCAAACGGGAUUAGAUACCCCGGUAGUCCUAGCCGUAAACUAUGGUCACUAGGUGUUGGGAGGGUUAAACCUUUCAGUGCCGUCGCUCACGCAUUAAGUGACCCGCCUGGGGAGUACGGUCGCAAGGCUG